UUUCCGUAGGUGAACCUGCGGAAGGAUCAUUAACACGAAUUAUUUAUUAUCCAAUAUCAAAAACCAAACGUGAACCUUUUCCCUCCCUAUAUAUAUAUAUAUAUAGGCUAACCUCAUUUAAUUAAUUUUUAACACUUUAAACCUUAACUAGUUUUAAUGUAGCCAUUAAAACAUCUAAACUAAAAAAGACAAGGUUAUUCGAAAGAGUAAACUUUAACUUUUUUCGAUUUACGAAAAAUUUAAAAGAACAACUCUUAACAAUGGAUAUCUUGGUUCUC
rnacentral:misc_RNA from 1 species